rnacentral:rRNA from 1 species
UAGGGAAUCUUCCGCAAUGGGCGAAAGCCUGCCGGAGCAACGCCGCGUGAGUGAUGAAGGUCUUCGGAUCGUAAAACUCUGUUAUUAGGGAAGAACAAAUGUGUAAGUAACUAUGCACGUCUUGACGGUACCUAAUCAGAAAGCCACGGCUAACUACGUGCCAGCAGCCGCGGUAAUACGUAGGUGGCAAGCGUUAUCCGGAAUUAUUGGGCGUAAAGCGCGCGUAGGCGGUUUUUUAAGUCUGAUGUGAAAGCCCACGGCUCAACCGUGGAGGGUCAUUGGAAACUGGAAAACUUGAGUGCAGAAGAGGAAAGUGGAAUUCCACGUGUAGCGGUGAAAUGCGCAGAGAUAUGGAGGAACACCAGUGGCGAAGGCGACUUUCUGGUCUGUAACUGACGCUGAUGUGCGAAAGCGUGGGGAUCAAACAGG